AACGAACGCUGGCGGCAGGCUUAACACAUGCAAGUCGAACGGGUGUAGCAAUACAUCAGUGGCAGACGGGUGAGUAACACGUGGGAACCUUCCUAGAGGUACGGAACAACUCAGGGAAACUUGAGCUAAUACCGUAUACGCUCUUGCGAGGAAAGAUUUAUCGCCUUUAGACGGGCCCGCGUCGGAUUAGCUAGUUGGUGGGGUAACGCCUACCAAGGCGACGAUCCGUAGCUGAUCUGAGAGGAUGAUCAGCCACACUGGGACUGAGACACGGCCCAGACUCCUACGGGAGGCAGCAGUGGGGAAUCUUGGACAAUGGGCGCAAGCCUGAUCCAGCCAUGCCGCGUGAGUGAAGAAAGGGCCUCGGUUGGUUAAGGUACGUAC
rnacentral:rRNA from 1 species